GGCCCCAUCGUCUAGAGGCUAGGACGUGGCCCUCUCAAGGCCAAAACACGGGUUCGAUUCCCGUUGGGGCUA
rnacentral:tRNA from 1 species